AUUGUCUUUUGCUUGUGUUCAAACAGUAACCAGUCCAAUAAACCAUAAUCAGUAUCAUGGUAAGCAAAUUUUUUACGAUCUUUGCAACUUGGCAACAUUGUCUUUUGCUUGCGUUUAUACAGUAAUCCAUCCCAUUAAACCAUAACCAGUGUCGUGGUAAGGAAAUAUAUUCCACCAUAAACUUGUGAACAAUUGUUUUGUUUGUAGUUGUAAAUGUAGGAGAUUAUUUACAUUAUAUUUACUACAUAAACAAGAAAUAUUGUAGCUCAAUGUAAAAAUGUGGUAGAUGGUGUUUUAGGUACUUAGAAUACAAACUGGGUCAUCCCUUCAUUAGUGUUGAUUAAUCUUAUUUUCAUUGUGUGUUAUGUUGUCAGCUUCGGUAGUAUAGUUUUGUGAUCUGUAAUUUUUGGGGUUUGGGACAACAAUGUGCUUUGCCUUUGAAAAUACGUUUCAGCCUGAGCAUUGGUAGUGGUGACUUGGUUAGGAGGAGUUAAUAUAAAGGUCUGAAGGUUUCUACUAGAGGUAUCCACAUCCACUGAAAGCAUCACUGCAGUUUGCCACACUACAUGCACAGCUUGCUUCUAGUCAUGCAGACAGCACCAGUCUCGCUAUUUUACUUGGCAGAGAAACAUCUCUAGGCAACAGACACCUCGUGGUCCGUACACCAAGCUUACACCAGGUCUGGCAGAUGAGGACAACUAGCCUACCCACCUCUCUUCAGGACAUACCCGGGACAUCUAGGCAAACAACCUUCCCCCAGGCUGUGCAGAUAGGGAUAUCACACUGUGUCUUUGUUGGACGAUACAUCUAUGCAGUCCACCUUCUCCUCAGGUCAUGCAGGCAGAUGGCAGCACCUAGGCUUCCCCCAGCUCACUUCAUGGUCAUUUAGAGGACCGCUAGGCUAUCAAGUUGAUGGGAACAUCUAGGCAACCCACCUCCACAACUAGGCUAUCCACCUGCCCCACUGCAUAUAUUGGCUGCUGUUUAGGAAAGGGCUGCUGUGUCUUGGUUGUCAAGUCCAUCUGUAGGCAUUGCUUCUGUGAGUGUACCCAAUACCUUUCUUGCCAAGGGCUCCCAGUCAAAGGAUUUCACCAUGUUUGGUUUGGCUUCCCAUGCUAUCAGAAUACUGUUUCUCUGGCUACCUGUGCGACCUACUCACCAUGCCUGCUAAUGUGUUUCUGGUAAUGUAGCAUCACUGUUUUCAUUUAAGCCACUAAUCUCAUAAUUAAACAUGAGUUUAUUUUUUUUGGGGGGGGGGGAAUGGAUGUGUUUUGCUAUUUUGCAGUGUAAGUUUUGAAUAUUGCCAGCUAAGCACCUGCCAUACACCCUGUGCAGAUGGGGACAUCACAGACGAUGACAUCUAGGCUAGCCACCUCUCCAGGACUACAGACAGGGAUCUCUGGGCUACCCAGUUGACACCAUGUCAGAUAGAUGGGGACAUAGAGACAAUCCACCUCUCCUCAAAACAUACAGAUUGCUGCUUCUAGACUACCCAGCUCUUGGGGUCAUGCACACAGUAUCCUCUAGUCUACCAAGCUUACUUCAGGUCCCGCAGACAGCACUAUCUAGGCUCUACCUGGGUAUGGUAGAUGGUCCACCUCUCCUCUCACGUUAUGCGAACGUCAUCUAGGCUACCCCCAGCACACGCCAGGUCAUGCAGAUGGACCUCUAGGCUAUCAAGUUGACAGGGACAUCUAGGGAACCCACCUUCAGAUCACACAGAACUUCUUGCCAAUCUACCUUGCCCGUGAGCAGUGCUUCCCUGUGAGUGCACCCAAUCCCUUUCUUGCUGAGGGUUCCCAAUCUCCAAAGGAUUUCAACAGUGCAGAGUGGCUUCCCAUGCUGUCAGAAUACUGUUUCUCUGGUUAACCUGUUCAACAUGUUCUUCACCAUGCCUGCUAAUUUUUCUCCGGUAAUAUGUAACCAACUGUUUUCUAAUUCCAUUCAACGUGGGUUUUUUUGGGGGGAUGCAUGUGUUUGCUCUUUUGCAGUGUAAGUUUUGGACACUGGCAGCUAAGCACCUACCCAUUUAUCUUGCACAAUUACCCGACCUAGUUGAUGGUGUACCCCUUGGUAUUACUGGGAGGGAGUCCUGUUCAACUCUGGGUUGCAGUCUUGAGAUGCCCCUGCUGAGAGGUUUUCCAGUGUCCAUCAGCUUGUUGUGGUGUUAAAGGAAUCAUCCCCUGAUCCCCCCUGAUGGAGGUGUUCAGCUCAUCUGUGUGCAGCGUACUAAAGCUUGUCAGCCAUACCAGUGGAUGUGUUGUGAUUGUCCUGUGGUCUUCAGUGUACCUGUCAGGUCGAUUUCUACUGUUAAAGGUCAUCUCUGGAUGGAGGCCCCCCUUGGUGUUAUCUGUGGUUCAUUUCAGAGUGCAAAGAUAACCUACAACAACAUGGACAGUAUAUUGGAUAGAGACAAUUCCUUGGCUGUUAAAAGAUUACGGUUUCAGUAUGUACUUUUCCUUGAUCAUUGAAGAAGCAUAGUUAAGGAUGAUGUAGAUUAGACAAUGCGUUUUGUUAUGUGCCUAAUUGCAUGUUCAUAACAUAAGCACAUAUGCAGCAAGUGCAAAUGGUUGAGUGCUCUUCCUAGGUCAGAUACAGUAUCUAUUGUGUUAGGAUGCAUGUAGUGUAUUGUUGGUAGGAGUAGGUGUUCCGUAGGUUUCCUCUGAAUCGUACGAGAUGAGAUGAUGCUCAUGGAGAACUAACAGAAAGGUCCAGGCUGUGAGGUUGGGUGGCAUGUAGAGAUGGGAGGAAAGGUUGAUGUUGCAUUUUGUUAGAAGUGGAAAGAAUUGAUGUUUGAGUAAUCGCCAACUCCCAAGAAGGACUGCUUUUAUUAUUGCUACUGAAACUAGAACAGAAUACAACAAUUCAGUCACCUACAAAAUUCUAUAUCACAAACUACAGCACACGCCUGGGUGCACCCGCUGUCCUGCAUUGGGCCAGGCCUACGUUUCCAGGUGGUUUUUCCCACGAAAAUAUUUUGAAGAGGGUUUUCCAUCUGGUUUUUCGUAGCCGGCAGACAGCUCUAAACAGACAUUGGUCAUACCACAAACUAGUUGCAUUAAAACGGUUCACAUACUACUGUUGUAAAACCGAGACAUGAUAACAUACUAAAUCAGAACAACUGUUACCAAUACACGUGCAGUUUACACCAAGUUUUAAUUAACAGCCAGCUUUUUCUUUGUAUUAAAGCAAUUGUUGAACAGCAUCACCACAUAAUGCAUAUUUGCACCAAUCUUAAAAUUGGCAGCCGUUUUUGUUAGUUUUCUCCUGGUAACAUAUUUUACAUGUAUAUAUUGGAAAGAUUAUCUGGUUUGUAAUUAUGAAUAAAUACUGCGAUGGUGA